AAACCCCCCAAAAUACCAUUAAUUUUCAUGAACCCCUAAUUUAUAAUGAAUGACUCCAUAUUUAUAUGGAAGACACCAUGCUAGGAUUAGUAACAAGAAUUUAUAAUUCUCCAAAAUGCAAAUAUAAACCAACAUGGAUAGACCAUUGGUAGUUACCGAACCUAAAUUUACUGCAAUAACACCCACAAGAAAACUCUGCAGUACUUACUCGUUAACCUAACACCAGCGCAUUACAGGAAAGAUUUAAAAAAAGAGAAGGAAUUCGGCAAAUGACGGCCCCGCCUGUUUACCAAAAACAUCGCCUCUUGACUUAUAAUAAGAGGUCCAGCCUGCCCAGUGAAUUUUAAACGGCCGCGGUAUCCUAACCGCGCGAAGGUAGCAUAAUCACUUGUUCUUUAAAUGGGGACUCGUAUCAACGGCAUCACGAGGGUUUUACUGUCUCCUCUUUUUGAUCAGUGAAAUUGAUCUUCCCGUGAAGAAGCGGGAAUAUUUUUAUAAGACGAGAAGACCCCAUGGAGCUUUAAACCAAAUAACAACUUAACUACUUAUCCCACAAUAAAUUUAAGCCCUGUUAUAAGGUUUUUGGUUGGGGUGACCGCGGAGUAAAGCACAUCCUCCACGACGGAAAGAACAUAAUCUUUAUUUAAGAACCACACUUCUAGAAAUUAGUAUACUAACGUUUACUGACCCGACAAUCGAUCAACGGACCAAGUUACCCUGGGGAUAACAGCGCAAUCUACUUCAAGAGCUCAUAUCGACAAGUAGGCUUACGACCUCGAUGUUGGAUCAGGGUAUCCCGGUGGUGCAGCCGCUACCGAAGGUUCGUUUGUUCAACGAUUAAAACCCUACGUGAUCUGAU
rnacentral:rRNA from 1 species